GAUUCUCAGCAAAAGGACUCUAAGGAUGCAGAGAAAGAGAAAUGGCCCAAUCUGGGAAGGAGAUUUUUAUGUGUAAGUAUAAAAACAAGUCAUCCACAAGUAGUGAUGUGUUUUUCUAGCGAAAACCAUCCUACUCACCAAGAGCCAGGAUUGAGAUGAUGCCUUAAGAAACACCCACUCCCCGUGAGGGAUGUUACCAAGAGGUCAAACUUAGUCAAGAACCACCAGUAACUUUGAGAAGUCUAGAUUACUCAGUCUUAGGUAUGUCUAUCAGCGUGUGAAAAUGGACUAUUACAACAUCUCUAGAGGCACAUGCCACGUGAUCCAGCCAUAAUUAGUUGUCACAACUAAGUUUCCUUUCUAUAUGAAAAGAUUAUAUUGAUUAGAAUUCUGA
rnacentral:lncRNA from 1 species